UACGUAGGGGGCAAGCGUUGUCCGGAAUCAUUGGGCGUAAAGCGCGUGUAGGCGGCUCGGUAAGUCUGCUGUGAAAGUCCAGGGCUCAACCCUGGAAUGCCGGUGGAAACUGUCGAGCUAGAGUCCGGAAGAGGCGAGUGGAAUUCCUGGUGUAGCGGUGAAAUGCGCAGAUAUCAGGAGGAACACCGGUGGCGAAGGCGGGUCUCUGGGCCGAUAUUGACGCUGAGGAGCGAAAGCGUGGGGAGCAAACAGG
rnacentral:rRNA from 1 species